UACGUAGGGACCAAGCGUUGUUCGGAUUUACUGGGCGUAAAGGGCGCGUAGGCGGCGUGGUAAGUCACUUGUGAAAUCUCUGAGCUCAACUCAGAACGGCCAAGUGAUACUGCUGUGCUAGAGUGCAGAAGGGGCAAUCGGAAUUCUUGGUGUAGCGGUGAAAUGCGUUGAUAUCAGAAGGAACGCCGGUGGCGAAAGCGACGGACUGGACCUCUUCUGACGCUGAGGCGCGAAAGCUAGGGGAGCAAACGGG
rnacentral:rRNA from 1 species